UNCAAGUUCUCAUUUCUGCCUGCAGUGCCUC
rnacentral:piRNA from 1 species